rnacentral:rRNA from 1 species
UACGGAGGGGGCUAGCGUUGUUCGGAAUCACUGGGCUUAAAGCGUGUGUAGGUGGAUCGUUAAGUACCUUGUGAAAUCCCACGGCUUAACCGUGGAACUGCUUGGUAUACUGGCGGUCUUGAGCCACUUAGGGGCUACCGGAACAAAUGGUGGAGCGGUGAAAUGCGUAGAUAUCAUUUGGAACGCCAAUGGUGAAAACAGGUAGCUGGGAGUGUGCUGACACUGAGACACGAAAGCCAGGGGAGCAAACGGG